rnacentral:misc_RNA from 1 species
GACGAACUUGAAAACCUGGGCACUCUGGCUGAAAUUUUAAACCACAGUGCUCUAAAAGAGUCAUUCUAAUAGAGAUUCGGCCUUUCUAAGGCGGAUUCGUGUCAAUUUUUUGCGUUUCCGUCGGAUACGAGGCCUACAUUU